CUAAAGGUAAUUUAAAAUAAAAUGUUGGCUUUGGGGGCCAUAGUGCCCAUGUCAGUGGCUUCAACAC
rnacentral:tRNA from 1 species